rnacentral:rRNA from 1 species
UACGUAGGGGCCUAGCGUUGUCCGGAAUUAUUGGGCGUAAAGAGCUCGUAGGCGGUUCGGCAAGUCGGAUGUGAAAUCUCCACGCUUAACGUGGAGGGGCCAUUCGAAACUGCCGUGACUCGAGUCCGGUAGGGGAGUGUGGAAUUCCUGGUGUAGCGGUGAAAUGCGCAGAUAUCAGGAGGAACACCGAUGGCGAAGGCAGGUCUCUGGGCCACUACUGACGCUGAGAAGCGAAAGCAUGGGGAGCGAACAGG